rnacentral:rRNA from 1 species
UACGAAGGGGGCUAGCGUUGCUCGGAAUCACUGGGCGUAAAGCGCACGUAGGCGGAUUGCUAAGUCAGGGGUGAAAUCCUGGAGCUCAACUCCAGAACUGCCUUUGAUACUGGCGAUCUCGAGUUCGGGAGAGGUGAGUGGAACUGCGAGUGUAGAGGUGAAAUUCGUAGAUAUUCGCAAGAACACCAGUGGCGAAGGCGGCUCACUGGUCCGGUUCUGGACGCUGAGGCGCGAAAGCGUGGGGAGCAAACAGG